AGCUCAGCAUUGGGUAUAAAGCGUGCGUAGGUGGCCUGUUAAGUCAGUGGUGAAAUACGGUUGCUCAACAAUCGAGGUGCCAUUGAUACUGACCGGCUUGAAAUAAUUGGAGGCUGCCGGAAUGGAUGGUGUAGCGGUGAAAUGCAUAGAUAUCAUCCAGAACACCGAUUGCGAAGGCAGGUGGCUACGAUUGGUUUGACACUGAGGCACGAAAGCAUGGGGAGCAAACAGGAUUAGAUACCCUGGUAGUCCAUGCUGUAAACGAUGAGGACUCGUUGUUUGGCUGUAAAGCUGAGCGACUUAGGGAAACCGUUAAGUCCUCCACCUGGGGAGUACGCCGGCAACGGUGAAACUCAAAAGAAUUGACGG
rnacentral:rRNA from 1 species